rnacentral:tRNA from 1 species
AAAAGACACUUAGAAAAGUAGGACUCGAACCUACGCAAAAGAGAUCAAAACUCUUCAUACUUCCCUUAUAUUAUUUCCUAGUAGAGUCAGCUAACUAAAGCUAUCGGGCCCAUACCCCGAAAAUGAUGGUUUAACCCCUUCCCCUACUA